rnacentral:rRNA from 1 species
GAGAGCGGCGGACGGGUGAGUAAUGCCUAGGAAUCUGCCUGGUAGUGGGGGAUAACGUUCGGAAACGGACGCUAAUACCGCAUACGUCCUACGGGAGAAAGCAGGGGACCUUCGGGCCUUGCGCUAUCAGAUGAGCCUAGGUCGGAUUAGCUAGUUGGUGAGGUAAUGGCUCACCAAGGCGACGAUCCGUAACUGGUCUGAGAGGAUGAUCAGUCACACUGGAACUGAGACACGGUCCAGACUCCUACGGGAGGCAGCAGUGGGGAAUAUUGGACAAUGGGCGAAAGCCUGAUCCAGCCAUGCCGCGUGUGUGAAGAAGGUCUUCGGAUUGUAAAGCACUUUAAGUUGGGAGGAAGGGUUGUAGAUUAAUACUC